AUUGAACGCUGGCGGCAUGCUUUACACAUGCAAGUCGAACGGUAACAGGGAGCUUGCUCCGCUGACGAGUGGCGAACGGGUGAGUAAUGCGUCGGAACGUGCCGAGUAGUGGGGGAUAACGCAUCGAAAGGUGUGCUAAUACCGCAUACGAACUGAGGUUGAAAGUGGGGGACCUCCGGGCCUCACGCUAUUCGAGCGGCCGACGUCUGAUUAGCUAGUAGGUGAGGUAAAGGCUCACCUAGGCGACGAUCAGUAGCGGGUCUGAGAGGAUGAUCGGCACCACUGGGACUGAGACACGGCCCAGACUCCUACGGGAGGCAGGAGUGGGGAAUUUUGGGCAAUGGGCGCAAGCCUGAUCCAGCCAUGCCGCGUGUCUGAAGAAGGCCUUCGGGUUGUAAAGGACUUUCAGCGAGGAGGAAAGGUUGAUGCCUAAUACGUAUCAACUGUGACGUUACUCGCAGAAGAAGCACCGGCUAACUCCGUGCCAGCCGCCGCCGUAACAC
rnacentral:rRNA from 1 species